rnacentral:rRNA from 1 species
AGCGAACGCUGGCGGCAGGCCUAACACAUGCAAGUCGAGCGCCCGGGGCAACCCGGGAGCGGCAGACGGGUGAGUAACACGUGGGAACGUGCCCUUCGGUUCGGAAUAACUCAGGGAAAC